rnacentral:rRNA from 1 species
AACGAACGCUGGCGGCAUGCCUUACACAUGCAAGUCGAACGGUAACAGGUCUUCGGAUGCUGACGAGUGGCGAACGGGUGAGUAAUACAUCGGAACGUGCCCGAGAGGGGGGGAUAACGAGGCGAAAGCUUUGCUGAUACCGCAUACGAUCUCAGGAUGAAAGCAGGGGACCGCAAGGCCUUGCGCUCACGGAGCGGCCGAUGGCAGAUUGGGUAGUUGGUGGGAUAAAAGCUUACCAAGCCGACGGUCUGUAGCUGGUCUGAGAGGACGACCAGCCACACUGGGACUGAGACACGGCCCAGACUCCUACGGGAGGCAGCAGUGGGGAAUUUUGGACAAUGGGCGCAAGCCUGAUCCAGCCAUGCCGCGUGCAGGAUGAAGGCCUUCGGGUUGUAAACUGCUUUUGUACGGAACGAAAAGACUCCUUCUAAUAAAGGGGGUCCAUGACGGUACCGUAAGAAUAAGCACCGGCUAACUACGUGCCAGCCGCCGCGGUAA